rnacentral:lncRNA from 1 species
GUUUCUUUCUUCCUUUUUAUUUUUUCCUACAGGGUCUCAUGAUGGAGCCCUGGCAGGCUUGGGAUUCACUUGACCGACAAGAAUAGACUUGGAAUCACAAAGAUUCUCCUGCAUCUACUUCCCACCGGGAAGCAAGUUCCCAAGUGACAAGGAAGACUACCAGUAUUCCCAGUCUCUAAUUCAGAUGAGUAUAUGCUAAGUAUGGGGAACUGAAGCCCAGAGAGAUUAAGGAACAUGACUAAGGCGGUGGCAGCUAGCAGAGGUCAUGAGCCAAUGAACCACGGCUGCUUUCUCUCCAACAGAAGACCUUUACAUGACCUUUGCAGUAUGGCCAAGAAAGGAGUCCUUGAAUCAUGGGUUAUGGACUGCAGGUCAUCUUCAGUGAAGGUCUCACUGAAACUCAGCCGUCUCUUCUUCAGAAUCUUCCCGUUGCUUGACGUUGCUGAUACUGUCACCCGGCUCUCCUUGAAGUGAGCAACACCAGCUGUGGUCUCUGAUCUCCUGAAAGCUGACAAUGAAGCCAGUGCUGACCCCUGACCCCAGGCAGAUAAUUACACUUUGAAUUAUCUACAUAAUAAAGGUAUGAAACAGAGGCACUUGUUGAUCUUGGACUGGGAGACAAGUGUGGAGAGAAAAGGGAACAUUCAGGACCAAGCAGAUGUUAUGAGGGUCAAGUAUAUCAAAGCCUGAAGGCUAAGAGCUCAGAGCCACUGGUGGAGGGAGAUGGGCUGGUAAGCUGAGAAUGGAGGACUGGAAGGAGUGCAGGAGCCAGACCAACAGGGCCUCUUAUAGCCCCCGGGAAGUCUUUUCUGGAGGGUUACUUCGAAGAUAUUCAAGCUCUGCCUAUUCAUAACUUAAUCAGUUUUACACUUUUGUUUUCGUGCUGCUAGAGAUGGAACCAGGAGGUCCUAAUUAAGCCUCUACCACUGAGCUGUAUCCCCAACUAGCUUUGUCUCUUUGAUGGUGACAGCUUUGAGUCUGAGAACUAUUCUAGGUUGCAAACCAGCACACAGAGAGAUGACAACGUAGCUCUAACUGUAUCAAAAGCAGUCUUUCUACCUAAACUCAAGUGUGUUUGACUAAGAUGUUCCAGGAGCCCAGGAGCAGAGACGACAGGAGAUUCAAACGUGAGCAUCAGGAGGAACACACACAGAUGGAGUUCAGUCAUUGCAUCACUGCGGGGCUGGCUAGCUGUGACGUCUUCUCUCUGCUUUAGCUCACUCCUUCCCUUAUGGAUGCUUUCUGUUUCUGAAUUCCCUUUCUCUCACCUCUUGAGAUGCUGAGUAAUGGAGUCUUUGCCUCUUCCUUGCCUUCUUUUCUGAAUGCCCUUCCAAAGUCAUCAGCGGGCUUCCUGUGUGGCAACCCUGGUGUCUGGACC